UCAGACUUCCCCCUGGAUUCAGCCCCUCUACUCUGCCAACAUUGCUCUCACCAGGGUACCCAGUGACCUCCAAGUUGCCCACUGUGGGAGCACUCCUGAGUCCUCAUCUUACUGGAACGCUCCUCACGACCAUCAGGGAAUCUUCUGCUGCCCAUGAAAGGAAGCCCAACUCGAAUUGCUGCAAGCAGAACUGGCUCCAGAUCACCAGAGGAAUAUGGCAAGACAUUUACUGAGGGUGGAAAGAGAUCAAACUGGCUGCGGUCACUGGAAUGUUCUAGCUCUGAAAGCGU
rnacentral:lncRNA from 10 species